UUACGGCCAUAUCAUGCUGAAACACCGGUUCUGGUCUGAUCGCCAAAGUUAAGCAAUGUCGAGACUGGUCAGUACCUAGAUGAGUGACCGUUUGGGAAUACCAAGUGAUGUAAU